UACGUAGGGGGCAAGCGUUGUCCGGAAUUAUUGGGCGUAAAGAGCGCGUAGGCGGUCCGAUAAGUCGGCUGUGAAAGUCAGGGGCUCAACCCUUGGAAGCCGGCCGAUACUGUCGGACUAGAGUCCGGAAGAGGCGAGUGGAAUUCCCGGUGUAGCGGUGAAAUGCGCAGAUAUCAGGAGGAACACCGGUGGCGAAGGCGGGUCUCUGGGCCGAAAUUGACGCUGAGGAGCGAAAGCGUGGGGAGCGAACAGG
rnacentral:rRNA from 1 species